AUUGAACGCUGGCGGCAGGCUUAACACAUGCAAGUCGAGCGGAGAGAGGUAGCUUGCUACUGAUCUUAGCGGCGGACGGGUGAGUAAUGCUUAGGAAUCUGCCUAUUAGUGGGGGACAACGUUUCGAAAGGAACGCUAAUACCGCUUACGUCCUACGGGAGAAAGCAGGGGAUCUUCGGACCUUGCGCUAAUAGAUGAGCCUAAGUCGGAUUAGCUAGUUGGUGGGGUAAAGGCCUACCAAGGCGACGAUCUGUAGCGGGUCUGAGAGGAUGAUCCGCCACACUGGGACUGAGACACGGCCCAGACUCCUACGGGAGGCAGCAGUGGGGAAUAUUGGACAAUGGGCGGAAGCCUGAUCCAGCCAUGCCGCGUGUGUGAAGAAGGCCUUUUGGUUGUAAAGCACUUUAAGCGAGGAGGAGGAGCUCUAGGUUAAUACCCUAGAAGCUUGGACGUUACUCGCAGAAUAAGCACCGGCUAACUCUGUGCCAGCAGCCGCGGUAA
rnacentral:rRNA from 1 species